rnacentral:rRNA from 1 species
CGAAAGCCUGACGGAGCAACGCCGCGUGUGGGAAGAAGGCUCUUGGGCUGUCAACCACUUUUCUCAGGGAAGAAGCUCUGACGGUACCUGAGGAAUCAGCAUCGGCUAACUCCGUGCCAGCAGCCGCGGUAAGACGGAGGAUGCAAGCGUUAUCCGGAAUUAUUGGGCGUAAAGCGUCCGCAGGUGGCGAUUCAAGUCUGCUGUCAAAGCACGGGGCUUAACUCCGUUAAGGCAGUGGAAACUGAAUGGCUAGAGUGCCGUAGGGGUAGAGGGAAUUCCCGGUGUAGCGGUGAAAUGCGUAGAGAUCGGGAAGAACAUCGGUGGCGAAAGCGCUCUACUGGACGGCAACUGACACUCAGGGACGAAAGCUAGGGGAGCG